GGUGGAGGGAAGCUCAUCAGUGGGCCACGUGCUGAGUGUAUCACAUCACUUCCACCCUGUCCGUUGGGGAGAUCUGAAACUAGGGCCACCAAGAACAGCCCUGACAGGAUCUCUCCCUGAACCUAGUUCCCAGACAGCACGGCUCUGCAUGAGGACGCCCCAGGCAGAAGAUGCUGGCAGGAGCGUGGAACAGACUCACAGCCAGCCAAGUGAGUUCAGUGGCUGAAGUGAGGAACCUUAUGGGCCUCAUAACCCAUGCAGACUCCUCUCCUCAUUAUC
rnacentral:RNase_P_RNA from 1 species